rnacentral:rRNA from 1 species
CCUACGGGAGGCAGCAGUGAGGAAUAUUGGUCAAUGGGCGGAAGCCUGAACCAGCCAAGUAACGUGCAGGAUGACGGCCCUACGGGUUGUAAACUGCUUUUAUACGGGAAUAACGCGCCUUACGUGUAGGGCUUUGCAUGUACCUUAUGAAUAAGGACCGGCUAAUUCCGUGCCAGCAGCCGCGGUAAUACGGAGGGUCCGGGCGUUAUCCGGAUUUAUUGGGUUUAAAGGGUGCGUAGGCCGCAUGUCAAGCGUGCUGUGAAAGGUCCGGGCUCAACCCGGGCCUUGCAGCGCGAACGGGCGUGCUUGAGUCCGGGGAAAGCAGGCGGAAUUCGUCGUGUAGCGGUGAAAUGCUUAGAUAUGACGAAGAACCCCGAUUGCGAAGGCAGCUGGCUGCAGCGGAACUGACGCUGAUGCUCGAAAGCGCGGGUAUCGAACAGGAUAGAUACCCGAGUAGUC